GACAGAGGGUGCAAGCGUUGUUCGGAAUUACUGGGCGUAAAGCGUACGUAGGCGGAUAUUUAAGUCAGGGGUGAAAUCCCGAGGCUCAACCUCGGAACUGCCUUUGAUACUGGGUAUCUUGAGUCCGGGAGAGGUGAGUGGAACUCCUAGUGUAGAGGUGAAAUUCGUAGAUAUUAGGAAGAACACCGGUGGCGAAGGCGGCCCACUGGAUCGGCACUGACGCUGAGGUGCGAAAGCGUGGGGAGCAAACAGG
rnacentral:rRNA from 1 species